UACGAAGGGGACUAGCGUUGUUCGGAAUCACUGGGCUUAAAGCGUGUGUAGGCGGACGCCUAAGUACCUCGGUGAAAUCCCACGGCUCACCCGUGGAACGGCUGGGUAUACUGGGCGUCUUGGGCCACUUAGGGGCGACUGGAACAAGCGGUGGAGCGGUGAAAUUCGUAGAUAUUCGCAAGAACACCAGUGGCGAAGGCGACUUCCUGGCCUGUUCUUGACGCUGAGGCGCGAAAGCUAGGGGAGCAAACGGG
rnacentral:rRNA from 1 species